GCCAGUGUGAUGUAGUGGUUUGAAUGUUGGACUACAACUCUGGAGAUGAGGGUUCAAAUCCCAGCUCUGCCA